CAAGUUGUUACGUGUCAGCCCUUUCGUAAGUCACAAGCCCAGUUGAUAACUGUAAGGAAGGAAGGAAAACGAAGUAAGAGAGCGAAGCCGAAUGGAGCAACCGCCAUCAUCACCGGGAACAAACCCAGUUGACCUGAGGAACUGCGUAGAAGAGCUUGUGAAGUUCACUCUCCACUCUCAGAUGAACGGAACUCUAGAAUGGGAUAUUGGGCUCUCACAAGAAUUCUGCUCUUCUCUCCUCGAUCACCACUCAGCCGACCCCAUCUCCACUAUUGCCAAUUCUCCAGGAGUCUCUCAAAAUCCUUUAUACAUCCAGUUAGCAUCGGCCUUAUAUGAAAUCAUAACUUUUGGUUCACUUCAAGCGUCAUCUAAGUGUAACAAGUUGGCAUCUUCUUAUGAAGGCAGUGGCUUGAAGCAGAAAGAAGAGUGGAUUGACUUAGUUCACAAAAAGGGAUCUGAAUUAGCUGAAAUUUUGAAGAACAUCAAUUUUGAACUACAUGUUCAGGAGCCUUUCUUCACUCAACUAAAGGAUGGCCUGAAAACAAUGGAAGGAAGGUGCGCUGUUGGUGACUAUAAUAGAAUUGCAUCUGGGGCUUUGAUCCUUUUCAACAAAUGCUUGGUACUUGAAGUUCAGGAUGUUCACCGUUAUGCUUCAUUCUUUGAGAUGUUGGAAGCAGAGAGUCUUGCAAAGGUCCUUCCAGGAGUUGAAACAAUAGAUGAAGCUCCAGUGAGCACUGUUAACAGUUUACAGAGCAGUUUUUGUGGAAAUGGCGGACACAACCUAACACCAGUUGUUCUAUACAUUGUAGUCUGAGCCCCGUCAUAUGCAUUCAAGUUUACAGGAAGUUUUACUCGGAAGAGAAAGAAAUGUCCAAUGGUGUACUUGCAAUUUGUGUUGCAAAAGUGGCUGCUCAACCCUACCUUUCAUUGGCCAGAAUACUAUCUGGGUUGAGUUAUGAGGGUGUUCACAGCCUUAUAAAUGAAGAGCAUCUUCUUGGAUCUAUUCCAUGAGAACUCGCAUUGGUAAGGGUAACUUCUCUGCUACACGGCUGCACCGCAAAUACAAGUCAAAUGCAAGAUGAGGACACAGGAUCCAUUGUUUGUUGUGUUAUACUCCAUCCCAAGAAAAUUUGCUUGAUAUAGCUUCUAGAAAUAUCUUCUGUUUCCUUGGUUUUGAAUCCUGUGACUGAUUAUAAAAAGUUCCAACAUGUGGAGUAGAUUGAUAUUGGAAGAGUAGAUUGAAAUUGGGAUGAA